ACAUUCACUUUAAAUAGGGCACCGUCUAAAUCCGUUGAGACGACACCGUAUGAAUUAUGGUUUGGGAAGAAACCUAAGCUGUCGUUUCUAAAAGUUUGGGGAUGCGAUGCUUAUGUCAAGAAACUUCAACCUGAAAAGCUCGAACCCAAGUCGGAAAAAUGCGUCUUCAUAGGAUACCCUAAGGAAACCAUUGGGUAUACCUUCUACUUAAGAUCCGAGGGCAAGAUCUUUGUUUCCAAGAACGGACCCUUUCUGGAAAAAGAGUUUCUCUCGAAAGGAGUAAGUGGGAGGAAAGUAGAACUCGAUGAAGUACUACCUCUUGAACCGGAAAGUAGUGCAGCUCAGGAAAACGUUCCUGUGGUGCCUACAUCGACUGGAGAGGAAAUUAAU
rnacentral:rRNA from 1 species